rnacentral:lncRNA from 1 species
CUCUGUUUUGCUAAACUUGUUUCUUUAAUGACUAACCUCGCUCUACGGUGGCUGAUUUUCUGCCGGCUAAAUCAGCAGUGCAGCUAAAUUGUUCUUUGAUAAGCUUGGCUACGUUUCAUGUGCAAACUUAUGAAGCUGGUAUAGCGCUACACUAACAGCUCCAUUUUCUCCUUUUGAAGCCUGCAAAAUUGGUAACAGUGUUGCAGGAAACAAACGGUUUCUGACUCAUCCAUCAUGAGACAUCUAACAGUUCAGUCAGAUGCAGAAGAAAUGAAAAGACCGUUCAUCCAUUACACAGAGCAAUGGGCACAAUGACAUUCACCAUGGCUUUUACCUGCUUUACUGAAAUGACCAGACAGCCUUGUACUUGAGGAAUGCUCAUCUGAAAAUCUGAAAAUGAA